rnacentral:misc_RNA from 1 species
GUCCGAGUCUACCUAAUUGUUUGGCUCCUUUGGUUAAAUAGUAAGAGGAGCCACCGAUAAGAAAUAUACAUAAUUGGUGUCAUUUUCAUGGCAAAAUUUUUUACACAACAAAGAGAAAAAGGAUAGAAAAGAAAGAACAAGUGUGCAAUCAACAAGUGUGCAUUCUCCCAUUAGAUCUUUAAAUUUUGGGCAUAGAAAGUUGAUUUUGCACUUUGUCUUUGAUACAUCAAAUGAAUUAUUAUAAUAAUAAUAAUAAACAAAUAAAAAGAUGUUUUCUUUAUGUAGAAUGCCCAUGUGGUUGGUGGGCCUAUGAUAACCAUAAAACGGAGGACUCCACAACCACAAUGACUUGCUUUAAUUUCUUAAUGACAUGUACACCUUGUAACUAUCAAUAACAAGUGUGCAUUAUUGCUACUUCACGAGAGAGAGAUUGAUUUUUUUUUGUAUGGGACCCAAAACCCAAAAGGGCAACUUACUAACCCUCUAGGUUUUUUGGACACCCUAACCAAAAGGGUACCCUACACUUUCUUUAGUUAAGACAAUUGAUGACCCCAUGAGAAGGAAUUUGGAGGAGUAAUUUGUGCAAGAAAUUAAUGAUGGGUGGGGGGAUGGAAUAUACCGAGUGUUUUAAUUGAUAAAUUAGGAACCAAAAGGAGCCCUGUGAGGAAUGCCUUUUCUUCUUCUUGCAGUAGAAGUAGGAGGUGGAGGAGGCGUAGGAGGGUAAAUGUCUUGUUGUGACCCUUCACGCAAUUCUUCAUCUUCUCUUGAUGAGACCAUUCUUGAUGAUAUCCCUUCUCUUCUUUCCAUUAAUUCAUCAUUCUUAGGCUCUAAGGUAAAGCUUGCAUCUCCAUUUCUCUUUAUUCCUACAAGCUUACAUCCCAAUGAACAAAAACGAAAUGGAUCCAAAAGGCUUCUCCCACAAAUUUCACAAAUGUGAGCAACUCCUUUCCCAGAUUUUGGCUGUGGCCUCUCAUUGAGAAACAUGACUCUGGCGCUAUUUAUCACAUAGGUUUGAACUCCACUUAUGUCCAAUACUUUUUGAAUCUCUGAAACCCUCACUACAUCAUGAUAUGAAGAUCUCCUUAUCUGGAUUACUUGAUGAUCUUUGUGUCUUGAAGAACGGCAAUAGAAGCAAAAUGCAUCACCUCUACAAUCUAAGCAAUACAUAUUGCAUUCACUUCUGGCUGCAUCUCCAUGUGUCCGGCAGAUGGUAAAGAAGGCUGCGCUUAGUAAUGACUCUAGCCAUGGCGGCACCAACAAUUUUUCCAUUUUCACAGCAGAAUGUGCAAGAAUUGGUUCCUAGAAAUAAUGUUAUUCUUUAGCCAAAGAAGUGGCAAAUUGUAGCUGAUGGCAAUGGAGAAUGGAGAAGAAGGAGAAGACUCAGAGAUCAAAAAUGGAGGAGAGAGAGAGAGAGGAGGUCUAAACGACCUGCAACUUAGAAAUCAACAACAAAACAGCGCCUAGAGUAAGGGACAAGGGUUAUAAACAAAUGAGGUAAUACUUGGGAAGUUAACGACUGAGAUUGAACGUGGUGGCUGAAGAAUAUUAACAAGCGUUGGAUGAUUCGACAGGGAUGGGUGGGUUUGGCGCUUACGCUAAUUCGGAUCAUCCUUGCGUCUCUUACGUAAGCACAAAGGUCGGCCACUU